rnacentral:rRNA from 1 species
CCUACGGGAGGCAGCAGUGGGGGAUAUUGCACAAUGGGGGAAACCCUGAUGCAGCGACGCCGCGUGUGGGAAGACGGUCCUCUGGAUUGUAAACCACUGUCCCCAGGGACGAAAAUGACGGUACCUGAAGAAGAAGCCCCGGCUAACUACGUGCCAGCAGCCGCGGUAAUACGUAGGGGGCAAGCGUUAUCCGGAUUUACUGGGUGUAACGGGGGCGCAGACGGCGAGGCAAGCCAGGAGUGAAAGCCCGGGGCCCAACCCCGGGACUGCUCUUGGAACUGCGUGGCUGGAGUGCAGGAGGGGCAGGCGGAAUUCCUGGUGUAGCGGUGAAAUGCGUAGAUAUCAGGAGGAACACCGGUGGCGAAGGCGGCCUGCUGGACUGCAACUGACGUUGAGGCCCGAAAGCGUGGGGAGCAAACAGGAUUAGAUACCCGAGUAGUC